UACGUAGGGGGCAAGCGUUGUCCGGAAUCAUUGGGCGUAAAGCGCGCGUAGGCGGCCCGAUAAGUCCGCUGUAAAAGUCCAGGGCUCAACCCUGGAAAGCCGGUGGAUACUGUCGGGCUCGAGUCCGGAAGAGGCGAGUGGAAUUCCUGGUGUAGCGGUGGAAUGAGCAGAUAUCAGGAGGAACACCGAUAGCGAAGGCAGCUCGCUGGGACGGUACUGACGCUAAGGCGCGAAAGCGUGGGGAGCGAACAGG
rnacentral:rRNA from 1 species